UUUAACCCCAAAUUUUCUGAAAACCCUCAUUUCAGCAACCCCCUUUUUAAAAAAAUUUCAAAAACCCUCUCUGUCUCUUGAAUGUCCGGCCAUAAUCGUCGCCGCCGUGACCCAAGACCGGCGAUGCACAAAACAGGCUUUUUAGCCUUCGUCGAAAGGCGUCCUUGAUAGUGGAGCUCUCUCGACCUACGAAACCAAAGAAAAGAGGUCUUCAACCCCUCCUUAGGCCCGAAUCGGACUCGGAGAAGAAGGCCUCCGACGGCGAGGUUGCGGCCGUCCGAUGGCUGACGUGACAGUGGCGGCGACGGCGAGCAGGGCAGGUGGUGAUGGGGCAUGCGGCGGCAGAAGCAAGUGGAUGACCCUAGGUGCGGCACACCUAGGGUUAGGGUUGUUGUUUUCUGAUUUGGGUAGUUGGGCUUUAAACUUUGGGCUUUGUAAUUGAGUUUUGGGUUUAGGUGAUUUGGGUGUUGUAUUGGGCUGGUGGGUUAGGUUUAGGUGGGCUUUGUUGGGACUCGGGUCAUAAAAUUGGGCCCUACAAUAAUAAAGUUUUAAAAGUUUUCAUAAAAAAAAAUCAUGGGUGUUGUGGAUCUAUUUUAAGGAAUGUGUCUGUUGAGGUAUGAAGUUGGUAAUAUAUGUUUUUUAUUAUUAUUAUAUUUCAUUAUGCGAAGAUUAUGGUAGGGUUAGUGUGGAGAAAUUAAAUAUGUUCAUGACUUGGGGAUAUAUAUUUUUUGUUAUCUAUGUUUUAUUUCAUGUAGUAA